CCUCUGGAGAAUCCCGGCCAGCCGGGUGCCGAAGGGGCAAGCCAGCGCAGCGGCGCGGCGAAACUCUCAGGCAAAAGGACAGAGCG
rnacentral:ncRNA from 1 species